rnacentral:rRNA from 1 species
ACGCUGGCGGCGUGCCUAACACAUGCAAGUCGAACGAGAAAGUGGAGCAAUCCAUGAGUAAAGUGGCGACCGGGUGAGUAACACGUGACUAACCUACCUCCGAGUGGGGAAUAACUCCGGGAAACCGGGGCUAAUACCGCAUAACAUCGCAAGAUCAAAGCAGCAAUGCGCUUGGAGAGGGGGUCGCGGCUGAUUAGCUAGUUGGCGGGGUAACGGCCCACCAAGGCGAAGAUCGGUAUCCGGCCUGAGAGGGCGCACGGACACACUGGAACUGAAACACGGUCCAGACUCCUACGGGAGGCAGCAGUGGGGAAUUUUGCGCAAUGGGGGAAACCCUGACGCAGCAACGCCGCGUGGAGGAUGAAGCCCUUUGGGGCGUAAACUCCUUUCGACUCGGACGAUUAUGACGGUACGAGUGGAAGAAGCACCGGCUAACUCUGUGCCAGCAGCCGCGGUAAUACAGAGGGUGCAAGCGUUGUUCGGAAUUAUUGGGCGUAAAGGGCGCGUANGCGGUGCGGCAAGUCACCUGUGAAAUCUCCUGGCUUAACUGGGA